GACAACUAGGAUGUUGGCUUAGAAGCAGCCAUCAUUUAAAGAGUGCGUAAUAGCUCACUAGUCGAGUGACACUGCGCCGAAAAUGUACCGGGGCUAAACAUAUUACCGAAGCUGUGGAUUGUCCUUUGGACAAUGGUAGGAGAGCGUUCUAAGGGCGUUGAAGCAUGAUCGUAAGGACAUGUGGAGCGCUUAGAAGUGAGAAUGCCGGUGUGAGUAGCGAAAGACGGGUGAGAAUCCCGUCCACCGAUUGACUAAGGUUUCCAGAGGAAGGCUCGUCCGCUCUGGGUUAGUCGGGUCCUAAGCUGAGGCCGACAGGCGUAGGCGAUGGAUAACAGGUUGAUAUUCCUGUACCACCUAUAAUCGUUUUAAUCGAUGGGGGGACGCAGUAGGAUAGGCGAAGCGUGCGAUUGGAUUGCACGUCUAAGCAGUAAGGCUGAGUAUUAGGCAAAUCCGGUACUCGUUAAGGCUGAGCUGUGAUGGGGAGAAGACAUUGUGUCUUCGAGUCGUUGAUUUCACACUGCCGAGAAAAGCCUCUAGAUAGAAAAUAGGUGCCCGUACCGCAAACCGACACAGGUAGUCAAGAUGAGAAUUCUAAGGUGAGCGAGCGAACUCUCGUUAAGGAACUCGGCAAAAUGACCCCGUAACUUCGGGAGAAGGGGUGCUCUUUAGGGUUAACGCCCAGAAGAGCCGCAGUGAAUAGGCCCAAGCGACUGUUUAUCAAAAACACAGGUCUCUGCUAAACCGUAAGGUGAUGUAUAGGGGCUGACGCCUGCCCGGUGCUGGAAGGUUAAGAGGAGUGGUUAGCUUCUGCGAAGCUACGAAUCGAAGCCCCAGUAAACGGCGGCCGUAACUAUAACGGUCCUAAGGUAGCGAAAUUCCUUGUCGGGUAAGUUCCGACCCGCACGAAAGGCGUAACGAUUUGGGCACUGUCUCAACGAGAGACUCGGUGAAAUCAUAGUACCUGUGAAGAUGCAGGUUACCCGCGACAGGACGGAAAGACCCCGUGGAGCUUUACUGUAGCCUGAUAUUGAAAUUCGGCACAGCUUGUACAGGAUAGGUAGGAGCCUUUGAAACGUGAGCGCUAGCUUACGUGGAGGCGCUGGUGGGAUACUACCCUAGCUGUGUUGGCUUUCUAACCCGCACCACUUAUCGUGGUGGGAGACAGUGUCA
rnacentral:rRNA from 1 species